GCCUGGGUGGCUCAGUCGGUUGAGCAUCCGACUUUGGCUCAGGUCAUGAUCUCGCGGUCCGUGAGUUCGAGCCCCGCAUCGGGCU
rnacentral:tRNA from 1 species